UACGUAGGGUGCAAGCGUUACUCGGAAUUACUGGGCGUAAAGCGUGCGCAGGCGGUUAUGUAAGACAGGUGUGAAAUCCCCGGGCUUAACCUGAGAACUGCAUUUGUGACUGCAUAGCUAGAGUACGGUAGAGGGGGAUGGAAUUCCGCGUGUAGCAGUGAAAUGCGUAGAUAUGCGGAGGAACACCGAUGGCGAAGGCAAUCCCCUGGACCUGUACUGACGCUCAUGCACGAAAGCGUGGGGAGCAAACAGG
rnacentral:rRNA from 1 species